CAGAAGAAGCACCGGCUAACUCCGUGCCAGCAGCCGCGGUAAUACGGAGGGUGCGAGCGUUAAUCGGAAUUACUGGGCGUAAAGCGCAUGCAGGUGGUUUGUUAAGUCAGAUGUGAAAGCCCGGGGCUCAACCUCGGAAUAGCAUUUGAAACUGGCAGACUAGAGUACUGUAGAGGGGGGUAGAAUUUCAGGUGUAGCGGUGAAAUGCGUAGAGAUCUGAAGGAAUACCGGUGGCGAAGGCGGCCCCCCUGGACAGAUACUGACACUCAGAUGCGAAAGCGUGGGGAGCAAACAGGAUUAGAUACCCUGGUAGUCCACGCCGUAAACGAUGUCUACUUGGAGGUUGUGGCCUUGAGCCGUGGCUUUCGGAGCUAACGCGUUAAGUAGACCGCCUGGGGGGGAGUACGGUCGCAAGAUUAAAACUCAAAUGAAUUGACGGGGGGGGCCCGCACAAGCGGUGGAGCAUGUGGUUUAAUUCGAUGCAACGCGAAGAACCUUACCUACUCUUGACAUCCAGAGAACUUUCCAGAGAUGGAUUGGUGCCUUCGGGAACUCUGAGACAGGUGCUGCAUGGCUGUCGUCAGCUCGUGUUGUGAAAUGUUGGGUUAAGUCCCGCAACGAGCGCAACCCUUAUCCUUGUUUGCCAGCGAGUAAUGUCGGGAACUCCAGGGAGACUGCCGGUGAUAAACCGGAGGAAGGUGGGGGGGACGACGUCAAGUCAUCAUGGCCCUUACGAGUAGGGCUACACACGUGCUACAAUGGCGCAUACAGAGGGCGGCCAACUUGCGAGAGUGAGCGAAUCCCAAAAAGUGCGUCGUAGUCCGGAUUGGAGUCUGCAACUCGACUCCAUGAAGUCGGAAUCGCUAGUAAUCGUGGAUCAGAAUGCCACGGUGAAUACGUUCCCGGGCCUUGUACACACCGCCCGUCACACCAUGGGAGUGGGCUGCAAAAGAAGUAGGUAGUUUAACCUUCGGGGGGGACGCUUACCACUUUGUGGUUCAUGACUGGGGGG
rnacentral:rRNA from 1 species